CACGUACUCCCUCCGUUCGGAAUAUCUUGUCGCAGAAAUGAAUGUAUCUAGAUGUAUUUUAGUUCUAGAUACAUUCAUAUCCGAGACAAGUAAAUUCUGAACGGAGGGAGGGAGUA
rfam:Triticum aestivum genome assembly, contig: Triticum_aestivum_CS42_TGACv1_scaffold_158422_2DL